AUUGAACGCUGGCGGCAGGCCUAACACAUGCAAGUCGAACGAGUGGCGGACGGGCGAGUCAUGUCUGUGAAACUGCUCGAUGGAGGGGGAUAACUCCUGGAAACGGUAGUUAAUCCCGCUUACCUUUGGAUGUGCCCAGAGUGAAUUAGCUAGUGGGUGGGGUAAAGGCUCCCCACGGCGACGAUCCCUAGCUGGUCUGAGAGGAUGACCGGCCACACGGGAACGGAGACACGGUCCAGACGCCUACGGGAGGCAGCAGGAGGGAAUAUUGCACAAUGGGCGCAAGCCUGAUGCAGCCAUGCCGCGUGUAUGAAGAAGGCCUUCGGGUUGUAAAAUACUUUCAUCAGGGAAGCGUUACCCAAAGAGAAAGCACCGGCUAACUACGUGCCAGCAGCCGCGGUAAUAC
rnacentral:rRNA from 1 species